CACAUGCAAGUCGCACGAGAAAGCGGGAGCAAUCUCGCAAGUACAGUGGCGUACGGGUGAGUAACACGUGGAUGAUCUACCUUUUAGUGGGGAAUAACGCUGGGAAACCGGCGCUAAUACCGCAUAAGCUCGAGAGAGGAAAGCAGCAAUGCGCUGAAAGAGGAGUCCGCGGCCGAUUAGCUAGUUGGGAGGGUAAAAGCCUACCAAGGCAUAGAUCGGUAGCCGGCCUGAGAGGGCACACGGCCACACUGGCACUGAAACACGGGCCAGACUCCUACGGGAGGCAGCAGUGGGGAAUCUUGCACAAUGGGGGCAACCCUGAUGCAGCGACGCCGCGUGAGCGAUGAAGCCCUUCGGGGUGUAAAGCUCUUUCGUCAGGGACGAUAAUGACGGUACCUGGAGAAGCAGCUGCGGCUAACUACGUGCCAGCAGCCGCGGUAAUACGUAGGCAGCGAGCGUUGUUCGGAGUUACUGGGCGUAAAGGGUGUGUAGGCGGUUUUCUAAGUUUGGUGUGAAAUCUCCCGGCUCAACCGGGAGGGUGCGCCGAAAACUGGGAGACUAGAGUGCGGGAUGGGAGAGUAGAAUUCCUGGUGUAGCGGUGAAAUGCGUAGAUAUCAGGAGGAAUACCGGUGGUGUAGACGGCUCUCUGGACCGCCACUGACGCUGAGACACGAAAGCGUGGGUAGCAAACAGGAUUAGAUACCCUGGUAGUCCACGCCCUAAACGAUGCAUAUUUGGUGUAGGUCAUUCAGUUGAUCUGUGCCGGAGCUAACGCGUUAAAUAUGCCGCCUGGGGAGUACAGUCGCAAGG
rnacentral:rRNA from 1 species